GGCCUUGUGGCCCAAUGGAUAAGGCGCCUGACUACGGAUUCCAAGUUCGAGUCCUGGCAGGGUCG
rnacentral:tRNA from 1 species